AGAGUUUGAUCAUGGCUCAGAUUGAACGCUGGCGGCAGGCCUAACACAUGCAAGUCGAGCGGUAACAGAUCUAGCUUGCUAGAUGCUGACGAGCGGCGGACGGGUGAGUAAUGCAUAGGAAUCUGCCCGAUAGUGGGGGAUAACCUGGGGAAACCCAGGCUAAUACCGCAUACGUCCUACGGGAGAAAGGGGGCUCCGGCUCCCGCUAUUGGAUGAGCCUAUGUCGGAUUAGCUAGUUGGUGAGGUAAAGGCUCACCAAGGCUGCGAUCCGUAGCUGGUCUGAGAGGAUGAUCAGCCACAUCGGGACUGAGACACGGCCCGAACUCCUACGGGAGGCAGCAGUGGGGAAUAUUGGACAAUGGGGGCAACCCUGAUCCAGCCAUGCCGCGUGUGUGAAGAAGGCCUUAGGGUUGUAAAGCACUUUCAGUGAGGAGGAAAAGUUAAUGGUUAAUACCCAUUAGCCGUGACGUUACUCACAGAAGAAGCACCGGCAAACUCCGUGCCAGCAGCCGCGGUAAUACGGAGGGUGCGAGCGUUAAUCGGAAUUACUGGGCGUAAAGCGCGCGUAGGCGGUUUGUUAAGCCGGUUGUGAAAGCCCUAGGCUCAACCUAGGAACUGCACCCGGAACUGGCAAGCUAGAGUACAGUAGAGGAAGGUGGAAUUCCAAGUGUAGCGGUGAAAUGCGUAGAUAUGUGGAGGAACAUCAGUGGCGAAGGCGGCCUUCUGGACUGAUACUGACGCUGAGGUGCGAAAGCGUGGGGAGCAAACAGGAUUAGAUACCCUGGUAGUCCAUGCCGUAAACGGUGGGCGCUAGGUGUGGGGUCCUAAAGGAAAAAAAAAAAUAAAAAACAUGAAAAAAAGGAAUAGCUAAAAGUUCA
rnacentral:rRNA from 1 species